UGGGCCAAGCAGGGAGAAUAGGGCAUCGUCAGGAGCCAGCGGUGCUGUUUCUCUUGUCAUGGCAUUGUUGGGAGCGGCUAAAGCUGGGUGAAGGGAGCAGCGCCGCUUCACCUCCGCCCUCGCUGACCUGCGAUGGCGGCGACUUCAACAAACCGCUACCAUUGUAGCGGUGGCCUCUCAGGUCUGAAUGUCCAAAAAAGAGGGAAGGUCAUGAUGAAAUUUUCAGUACUCCCUGGUUGUUUUCUUUAGUUGGUAUAAAUUCCUUCGUUGCUAUUUCGUCCUGGUGGUUUGGGCCAGAAUUUCUGCUUGGCCUAGCUCUAAUUUUUCAUUGAAAACAUUUGAAACUAUUGGACAUGAAAGCAGCU